rnacentral:tRNA from 1 species
UGCCCGGUCGUCCAAUGGCAGGACAACGGUCUUUGGAUCCGUGAAUCGUGGUUCGAAUCCACGCCGGGCAA